UUUUGUAUAAAUUACAUUUGCCAUGCAAAACGAAGCUAAAAACUAAGAAAGCAACGCGUCAAGCUUCACAAAACACAAAAAAAAUUAAAACAAAUAAAGAAAUGAUAGUCAAAAGCGAGUGCAAUCUAAUACUGCUAUGGACAUGAUGAAAGCAGGCCAAGGCUUCUCUAGCUGCUAACUGCAAACGGACAGCAAAAGGCAAUGUGAAAAACGUUGGAAACAGAUGUGAAAAGGUCUAUCAUCAGUCAAAAUACAUUUUACUACACACGAGUAGUUAAAAAAGUUUCACAAAUAACACACUGAAAUAUAGUAACAUUAAUUAGAAUUGCCAAAGAAGUGGAAUGCACAGCAAGAGUUUUGCAACGUUUGAAGAUAAACAUAAAGUUUGCUUUAAGUGCAUCCAAUUUCAUCUUC